CGGAACUUUACCAGAGAGAUUAUUAUUGGAAACGUCAAGUGUCUGAAGUGCGAGUGUCGUCAAGCUAUCAGGAAUAGAACCUGUCAAGUUAUUGUUAUUGAGAUACAAAUUCUUCAAAUUAGUGAGAUUGGCAAAUGCAGGAGAAAUAAUCCCUGAGAAGCCCUGCUUUCCCAAAUUAACAGUGGUUACUUUUUUAUUCGGAUCGCAGGAAACAAAGUUCCAACCAGAACAGGCAUCAUUUCCUGUCCAAUCAUCAGAGAGUUUCGAUGGAUACCCAAGAGUUGCAGCAAUCUCAAGCAAAGCGGUCACCU
rnacentral:misc_RNA from 1 species